UACCGUCCUCCUCUGGAGCUCUCGAGAGUCUGGGACUUUGGAGUCGCUCCCACAGAGGCAAGUCUCAGGAUCCCGUGUGGGGACAUCUCUGUGCCUGUCGUAGCUUAUCUAACCACGGGCUUUGGGGAAGCCUUGCCCAUGUGCUGAGAGCUGGCGCAUACACGAGGAGACUGUGUGUGUGUGUGUGUGUGUGUGUGUGUGUGCGCGCGUGUGUGUGUGACAGCGACAUCUCCAGCCAGCACGAGACGGAGAGCCUCAGGAAAAAUCACCUGUUCGUUUUCCACCGUGUCUCGUCUGUCUCUGGCCCAGUGCUUGGCUCGGGCGUGGCCUGCGAAGAAACCCGCAGAAGGUACACUGCUUUGGUCUGUUUCUUUUCUUGUUUUUCGUUGUUUUCCUCCGCUUGCGGUCUUCCACGCGCACAAAAAUACCUCACAGGUCAGGGCUUCACCAAAUCGCACGUCGGGAGGAACUCGGCCGUCACGCUGAACUCAGAGAUGCCUCCGUGGGUGCGUGAGGGGUCUCGGCCUCCACGCGGGCCAGACUCCUGCGGGUCAGGGCGCUGUGAUCUCAGCGGAAGGUCAGCUGAGAGUGGAUCCAGUUGAAUGUGGGUGCUGUUGCCGGACGCAUUUCAUCAUGUCGGUUCCCCGGGGUGGCGAGGGGCUAAGGGAGGGCCGCACCCGGGCAGGAUUUCAGGGCCACCUGUGCGCUGACGUGUCACAGUCCCGAGGCCAGACGUCAGUACGCCCGGUAUUUCAAUGAAGAGGCGGUGUAAAAGACUUAAAAAAGGAGGUUGCCUGCCGUUCGCCCUCUCGGCCCAUGGGGAGGGCCCCCUGGCCUCGGUGUUGUUGCCGGAGGUCGGGGGUCACGUCACUGCUGCCAGCUGGUCUGGGAGUAUUGCCCUGGCACCCGCUCACCACCGCCUCCCCGCCUCGCACCCAGGGCAGCAGGGGCCACGGAGGGCGGUCACCGGAGCCCGAGGCCCACGGGACUCGCAGACUUUACAGUGGGCCCGGCUCCACUUCUGCACCGUGUUUUGACCCGUUUCGGGGGCAGUUGCUACAGGAGGCACAGAAUGGACACCGUGAGUUGCCUCCUAUGUUUAUUCAGUUCGUUCUGCUAGAAUCCUUUGGCCAGAUGUCCCUUCAGCCCAGGCUGCGUGCUCUCAUCGAUCCCAUCCCACAGGCCGAGCCUCCAGAAGCCUGGCGCCGCGUGGGGCCGGGGGUGGGGAGAGAACCCCUCUCUUCCCAGCUGGGCCCGGGGAGCCAGCCGACGUGUCUCGUCUUUGCCAACCGAGGAACGUCUCUGGCCUUGCUGACGCCCCUUUGCUCUGAUUGCAAGUCGGGCAGAAAGCGAAGAAAACUGCCUGAGAGCGACCGUCAAAAGCAGGGAUUUGUGUGCAAAGUGGGUAACUAGUGCUCCGGUGCAAACCUCGCUCAGCCGAAUCCACCGAGGUUGUGCUGUUGAGUCCUGGGCGGCGAAUGCAGUAAGGAGUUCAGAUCACCGUCACCCGCCGCCAUCACCCUGUGGCCAUGGGCUGCAGUCACACUCACACAAGGAAAAAUGUCAGGACCUGAGAGAAUGAUUUGGAACCCCCCCCCCCCCCAUCCUUGGCAGGCUGGUUUGUGCGGGCCAUUUCCCGUGCGUGGGGAAGUCUGGCAGCCGUGAUGCCUGCCGGUUCCCUCGAAACCACGUGUGCAAGACUUGACCCCCAAAUCAGCCUUGUUGCUGGAUGCAACUGUCACGGCUCUGUCCGCCUUUGUGCCAGGAAUACGUUCUAACUUCCAGGUGAUUUGAAGUCAGUCUUAAAAGUAAUAGACUAAAAUGAGUAAAAUACAGUAGCUAUUUGUUCUGAGCCGGAGCUGGACAGGUGUGGGAAAUUUCCGUAUAGUGUAUGAAAAUUUCACCGUGCAGGGAAAUGAUUUUCCACUGUAUCUCGUCUUCUACGAUAAAAAAAAAUACUCAAAAUUGUACUGUCGCUGUAAGAUGAUUCAAAAUAUUGUUACUGCAAAAUCCUUCUUCAAAAUUGUACUGUUGCUGUAAGAUGAUUCAAGAUAUUGUUACUGCAGAAUCCUUCUUCAAAAUUGUCGCUGUAAAAUGAUUCAAAAUAUCAUGACAAUAAAUUGCAUCAAUUUGUAGCCUAUUAAAGUGCCCUCCAACAUGA